UGGGGAAUAUUGGGCAAUGGGGGAAACCCUGACCCAGCAACGCCGCGUGAAGGAAGAAGGCCUUCGGGUUGUAAACUUCUUUUACCUAGGGACGAAGGACGUGACGGUACCUGGAGAAAAAGACAACGGCUAACUACGUGCCAGCAGCCGCGGUAAUACGUAGGUUGCAAGCGUUGUCCGGAUUUACUGGGUGUAAAGGGCGUGUAGGCGGAGGAGCAAGUCAGAUGUGAAAUCCCGGGGCUUAACCCCGGAACUGCAUCCAAAACUGAUAUUCUUGAGUGAAGUAGAGGUAGGCGGAAUUCCGAGUGUAGCGGUGAAAUAGCGUAGAUAUUCGGAGGA
rnacentral:rRNA from 1 species